rnacentral:rRNA from 1 species
UACAGAGGGUGCGAGCGUUAAUCGGAAUUACUGGGCGUAAAGCGUGCGCAGACGGUCAUGUAAGUCGGGUGUGAAAGCCCCGGGCUCAACCUGGGAAUUGCAUUCGAGACUGCAUGGCUAGGGUGCGGAAGAGGGAAGCGGAAUUUCCGGUGUAGCGGUGAAAUGCGUAGAUAUCGGAAGGAACACCAGUGGCGAAAGCGGCUUCCUGGUCCAGCACCGACGUUCAGGCACGAAAGCUAGGGGAGCAAACGGG